GUUAAAACGCUCGUAGUCGGAUUUCGUGGUCGGGCGACAGGUCUCCUUCACAGGUGCACUUGUCGGCUUGCCAUUCUUACCGGAACGCCUGCACUUUUUUAACUAAACGUGCAGUUGGAACGGUUUAUUUACUUUGAAAAAAUCAGAGUGUUUCAAGCAGGCAGCUCGCUCUUGCAUGGAUUAGUAUGGGAUAAUGAAAUAGGACUUUGGUGCUAUUUUGUUGGUUUCGAACACCGAAGUAAUGAUUAAAAGGGACAGUCAGGGGCACUCGUAUUCCGCCGAGAGAGGUGAAAUUCUCAGACCAGCGGAAGACGAACCACUGCGAAAGCAUUUGCCAGGGAUGUUUUCACUGAUCAAGAACGAAAGUUAGGGGAUCGAAGACGAUCAGAUACCGUCGUAGUCUUAACCAUAAACCAAUACCCGACUAGGGAUUGGAGGAUGUUCACUAUCGACUCCUUCAGCACCUUACGGGAAACUAAAGUCUUUGGGUUCCGGGGGGAGUAU
rnacentral:rRNA from 1 species